CCUACGGGAGGCAGCAGUAAGGAAUCUUGCGCAAUGGGCGAAAGCCUGACGCAGCGACGCCGCGUGGGCGAUGAAGGCCUUCGGGUUGUAAAGCCCUUUUCUGGGGGACGAGGAAGGACGGUACCCCAGGAAUAAGUCACGGCUAACUACGUGCCAGCAGCCGCGGUAACACGUAGGUGGCGAGCGUUAUCCGGAUUCACUGGGCGUAAAGCGCGUGCAGGCGGUUCCGUAAGUCGGACGUGAAAGCUCCUGGCUUAACUGGGAGAGGUCGUUCGAUACUGCGGAACUUGAGGUUGGGAGAGGGGUGUGGAAUUCCCGGUGUAGUGGUGAAAUGCGUAGAUAUCGGGAGGAACACCAGGGGCGAAGGCGGCUCUCUGGGGUCAACCUGACGCUGAGGUGCGAAAGCGUGGGGAGCGAACCGGAUUAGAUACCCCGGUAGU
rnacentral:rRNA from 1 species